GCGGAGAAUCCAUUAAUCCAUUAUUUGUGGUUCAAUAUAUGCUUUCUAAAUCAGACCAUCUAGAAACCUAAUAUGUUUCUUUGCAAUUUGGUUGUAAGUGUUGGUCUUGCUUUGUGGAUAAGGAGCUUCUGCAAAGUAUUUGACAUCUCAGUUGGAUGCAUUUUAAGGACAGACAUCCUGCAGCAAAAGCUUGGCCCCUUAUUCACAGAGCUGAAUGCACACCGGAAAAGGAGUCCAGUAAAAGGUAGAGCAGCUUCAGGUCCCAUGGCUACCCCCAUGCAAAGGAGGUGAGGCCACAGAACCGAACUGGGGUCUGUUCGCCUGGCACAGCAAAGUCAAACACUAACAUUAGGAUGGCAGCGAGAGGAAGUGAAGCAUUUAUUUGCAAGCACCAAGCAAAGAGAGUUGGACAGUUGAUGCCUAAGAUCCCACCUGCCCGGUGGCUUGCAGCCCCUGGUGGUUUCAGGGAUGUGUGUUGGUCACAAUAAAUGCUACAGAAUACAAUACCAAUGUGGGAAGAUGACAGAAAGAUCCUGGAAACCUCAACCCCACCUCAUUCUUCAAGAUACAGCUCAAAAAGCUCUCUGAAUAACGCAGAAAAGCUAAGCUGACUACUCCUGCUUUGAUCAUGAUGAUGUCUUGCUCAGAAUUUCAGGAUAGUCCAGGGAUCACCGAAAGAGAUCACCAAACUUUCUCUAUGAAGAACCAAAUACUACAAACUUCCGUCUUUGCCGGCCACGUGGUCUCUGACUCAACUGCUCAACUUUUCACUAACGUGAAAGUAGCCACGGACCAUAUGCAAAAAAAUGGGAGUGGCUGUGUUGCAAUAAAACUUUACUUGUAGAUGCUGAU
rnacentral:lncRNA from 10 species